GACGAACGCUGGCGGCGCGCUUAACACAUGCAAGUCGAACGGAAAGGCCUGCUUUCCCUUGUGGAUUGCGGGUACUCGAGUGGCGAACGGGUGAGUAACACGUGAGUGAUCUGCCCCCAACUUGGGUAUAAGCCUGGGAAACUGGGUCUAAUUCCCGAUAGGACUGCAGGGUGGUGCCUGUGGUGGAAAACGAUUUUCUAGUGGUUGGGGAUGAGCUCGCGGCCUAUCAGCUUGUUGGUGGGGUAAUGGCCUACCAAGGCGGCGACGGGUAGCCGGCCUGGGAGGGUGGACGGCCACAUUGGGACUGAGAUACGGCCCAGACUCCUACGGGAGGCAGCAGUGGGGAAUAGUGCACGAUGGGCGGAAGCCUGAUGCAGCGACGCCGAGUGGGGGAUGACGGCCUUCGGGUUGUAAACUCCUUUCGACCGCGAGGAAGCCACCUGGUUGGAAGGGUGGUGACGGUAGUGGUAGAAGAAGCACCGGCUAACUACGUG
rnacentral:rRNA from 1 species